rnacentral:lncRNA from 1 species
AGCCCAGGAAAAAGGGCGACUUCGUUAAGCAGCUCGAAAACUAAAAUACAAAGUUAGAAGUCGGAGGAACGAUAGAUUAAGGCUUUGGCCUCAUUCACGACAAGAGAUAAGGAAGAAGAACGAAGUAAUAAAAGAGACCUUUCAUUGAUAAGGGGCCGGAAGGCCAAUUACAAAAUUGGAGGUCGGCCAUUCAAAAGCCGACCUCGGAUACGAUGAAAAAGAAAAAAAAUACGCCGAGUCUUAAGCGGCGGCAGCAACAUCCGCGGGGUCGUCCACGGUGAUGACCUCGGGACCUUCAGCCGGCACAGGCUCGGGGUCGGUGGCAGGGGCCUCGGGUGCCGCCUCCGGGACGCCGUCCGUCUCGGCCACCCUCGUCGAAGGCUCGGCGGGGUCAUGUUCGUACAAUCCUGCCUCGGAUGUCAAAAUGGCAGGAAGGUCUUCCGUGUCGGACCCGUAGCCCAGGUUCAUCCUCGGACGGACCGUCGAAAGGUCGAACUGGGGGCAGAACCGGGCCAUC